rnacentral:rRNA from 1 species
UACGUAGGGUGCAAGCGUUAAUCGGAAUUACUGGGCGUAAAGCGUGCGCAGGCGGUGAUGUAAGACAGAUGUGAAAUCCCCGGGCUCAACCUGGGAACUGCAUUUGUGACUGCAUCGCUGGAGUGCGGCAGAGGGGGAUGGAAUUCCGCGUGUAGCAGUGAAAUGCGUUGAUAUCGACCGGAACUCCGGUGGCGAAGGCGAGGCGCUGGACCCUUUCUGACGCUGAGGCGCGAAAGCCAGGGGAGCAAACGGG